UUUGACACGACAGCUUAUGGCGAGUACAAAGCUUGCAACUCUGCACAGGAAAGCCAGAGAGAGGGCUGUGAUGAUGAAGAAGAGGGCAAAGAGGGUCCCCCUGAAAAUGCUUCAGGUCGGAGCAAAGCACGACAACCAUUUGCACAUGUGGUGGUAGUUCGCAAAAAAGACGAGAGAAGGCGGCUGAAGGGCACUACCUGCAAGGAGUGUGAGACUUAUUAUGCUCAUCUCCCAGAACAGGAAAAACAAAAGAAGUUGUCUGCAUGCUCCAGGCACCGUUUUCUUUACAUUCCUCCUUGUACUCCUGAAAACUUUUGGGAAGUUGGUUUCCCAUCAACACAAACAUGCAUUGAAAGAGGUUAUAUCAAGGAAGACAAUAAUCCUCAGGCACGUUCACGAAGAAAACAACCAUUCAACGCUUUAUUCUCCCCGAAGCGAAACCAGCAGCAGAGCUAGAAGGUUUCUCUGUUUGAAUUCACCAACUGUAUGAAGAACGGGUUAGUUCCUGUGGUAAAAUGGCUCUGAGGGGUACAAUGAAGCUCUUUUAACACAACAGCCUUCUAAUAAGGUUUGUCUGUAAUUGUAACAUGCUAUUUGUAAACAUUUGGCUUUGAUUAUGCUUGGGAUAUGUCUAAGAUAAAGAUUAAUUACAUGUAUGUGGAGGGUUGUAAAUGAUCAGAACUGUCACUGGGAUUUAUUAAAUUAUAUAGAAAUAAACUGAAGUAUUGUUUGCAAAUGGCUUUAAUACUUUGUAUUAGUGUUUUAAGAUGAAAUUCACAGUUCUGUUUUAGUGGGGUUAGAGUCCAAUAAAAAAUACACAGUACGCACAAAAAUAUAAUUUUAUUUGGUCGGCAAAUUAUCAACGCACAUAGGAAGAAUGAUCUGAACUUUCUAAGAAAAAGUGCAAGUUGUGGGUUCAUCUGUAGAGCUGUUGUGUUAAAUUACAGUUGAGUUUCUCUUUCAGCAUAGACGAGCAGUGCCUCUCCAACAUGACUGACAACCACAC